rfam:Bombyx mori DNA, contig: Bm_scaf1_contig697, strain: p50T/Dazao, build 2, whole genome shotgun sequence.
UUAACUCAAAUUUGUAUGGAGUUGGAACGUUAGCGUACGUUUACCGCUAAGGGCGCUGUUCCAACUGCACAGUAAUUUAAGUUA